rnacentral:rRNA from 1 species
CCUACGGGUGGCAGCAGUGAGGAAUAUUGGUCAAUGGACGAGAGUCUGAACCAGCCAAGUAGCGUGAAGGAUGACUGCCCUAUGGGUUGUAAACUUCUUUUAUAUGGGAAUAAAACGUUCCACGUGUGGGAUUUUGUAUGUACCAUAUGAAUAAGGAUCGGCUAACUCCGUGCCAGCAGCCGCGGUAAUACGGAGGAUCCGAGCGUUAUCCGGAUUUAUUGGGUUUAAAGGGAGCGUAGGUGGAUUGUUAAGUCAGUUGUGAAAGUUUGCGGCUCAACCGUAAAAUUGCAGUUGAAACUGGCAGUCUUGAGUACAGUAGAGGUGGGCGGAAUUCGUGGUGUAGCGGUGUAAUGCUUAGAUAUCACGAAGAACUCCGAUUGCGAAGGCAGUUCACUGGACUGCAACUGACACUGAGGCUCGAAAGUGUGGGUAUCAAACAGGAUUAGAUACCCUUGUAGUC